rnacentral:rRNA from 1 species
CCUACGGGUGGCAGCAGUGAGGAAUAUUGGUCAAUGGGAGAGAUCCUGAACCAGCCAAGCCGCGUGAGGGAAGACGGCCCUAUGGGUUGUAAACCUCUUUUGUCGGAGAACAAAACCCGGGACGUGUCCCGGACUGCGUGUAUCCGAAGAAAAAGCAUCGGCUAACUCCGUGCCAGCAGCCGCGGUAAUACGGAGGAUGCGAGCGUUAUCCGGAUUUAUUGGGUUUAAAGGGUGCGUAGGCGGUCCGUUAAGUCAGCGGUAAAAUUGCGGGGCUCAACCCCGUCGAGCCGUUGAAACUGGCAGACUUGAGUUGGCGAGAAGUAUGCGGAAUGCGUGGUGUAGCGGUGAAAUGCAUAGAUAUCACGCAGAACUCCGAUUGCGAAGGCAGCAUACCGGCGCUCAACUGACGCUCAUGCACGAAAGUGUGGGUAUCGAACAGGAUUAGAUACCCUUGUAGUC